AACGAACGCUGGCGGCAUGCUUAACACAUGCAAGUCGAACGGGCGCCUUCGGGCGUCAGUGGCGCACGGGUGAGUAACGCGUGGGAAUCUGUCACGAAGUGGGGAACAACCACUGGAAACGGUGGCUAAUACCGCAUGUGCCCCGAGGGGCAAAGGUCGAAAGGCCGCUUUGUGAGGAGCCCGCGUCCGAUUAGCUAGUUGGUGGGGUAACGGCCUACCAAGGCUCCGAUCGGUAGCUGGUCUGAGAGGAUGAUCAGCCACACUGGGACUGAGACACGGUCCAGACUCCUACGGGAGGCAGCAGUGAGGAAUAUUGGUCAAUGGGAGCAAUCCUGAACCAGCAAUGCCGCGUGUGGGAUGACAGGGCUUCGCCUUGUAAACCACUGUCGGACGGGACGAAAGGAGGCCUCGGGGCCUCUGGGACGGUACCGUCAAAGGAAGGGUCGGCUAACUACGUGCCAGCAGCCGCGGUAAU
rnacentral:rRNA from 1 species